AAAAAGGCCCUUUUGAGGGCCACCAAUUUUUAAAAGAAAAGAGUCU
rnacentral:ncRNA from 1 species